rnacentral:rRNA from 1 species
ACCGGCGCGACGGGUGAGUACACGUAUCCAACCUGCCGAUGACUCGGGGACAGCCUUUCGAAAGAAAGAUUAAUACCCGAUGGCAUAGUUCUUCCGCAUGGUGGAACUAUUAAAGAAUUUCGGUCAUCGAUGGGGAUGCGUUCCAUUAGGUUGUUGGCGGGGUAACGGCCCACCAAGCCUUCGAUGGAUAGGGGUUCUGAGAGGAAGGUCCCCCACAUUGGAACUGAGACACGGUCCAAACUCCUACGGGAGGCAGCAUG